rnacentral:rRNA from 1 species
AGUUGGAAACGACUGUUAAUACCGCAUAAUAUCUGUGGAUUAAAGGUGGCUUAGGCUGCCGCAGAUGGAUGAGCCUGCGUUGGAUUAGCUAGUUGGUGGGGUAAGGGCCUACCAAGGCUACGAUCCAUAGCUGAUUUGAGAGGAUGAUCAGCCACAUUGGGACUGAGACACGGCCCAAACUCCUACGGGAGGCAGCAGUGGGGAAUAUUGGACAAUGGGGGAAACCCUGAUCCAGCAAUGCCAUGUGUGUGAAGAAGGCUCUAGGGUUGUAAAGCACUUUAGUUGGGGAGGAAAGCCUAUAAGUUAAUAGCUUGUAGGAAGGACGUUACCCAAAGAAUAAGGACCGGCUAACUCCGUGCCAGCAGCCGCGGUAAUACGGGGGGUCCGAGCGUUAAUCGGAAUUACUGGGCGUAAAGGGUCUGUAGGUGGUUUGUUAAGUCAGAUGUGAAAGCCCAGGGCUCAACCUUGGAACUGCAUUUGAUACUGGCAAACUAGAGUAUGGUAGAGGAAUGGGGAAUUUCUGGUGUAGCGGUGAAAUGCGUAGAGAUCAGAAGGAACACCAAUGGCGAAGGCAACAUUCUGGACCAAUACUGACACUGAGGGACGAAAGCGUGGGGAUCAAACAGGAUUAGAUACCCUGGUAGUCCACGCUGUAAACGAUGAGUACUAGCUGUUGGAUUCGGUGUAAAGGAUCUAGUGGCGCAGCUAACGCAUUAAGUACUCCGCCUGGGGACUACGGCCGCAAGGCUAAAACUCAAAGGAAUUGACGGGGACCCGCACAAGCGGUGGAGCAUGUGGUUUAAUUCGAUGCAACGCGAAGAACCUUACCUGGUCUUGACAUCCUGCGAACUUUCUAGAGAUAGACUGGUGCCUUCGGGAACGCAGUGACAGGUGCUGCACGGCUGUCGUCAGCUCGUGUUGUGAAAUGUUGGGUUAAGUCCCGCAACGAGCGCAACCCCUAUUGAUAGUUACCAUCAUUAAGUUGGGUACUCUAUUGAGACUGCCGCUGACAAGGCGGAGGAAGGUGGGGACGACGUCAAGUCAUCAUGGCCCUUACGACCAGGGCUACACACGUGCUACAAUGGGUAUUACAGAGGGCUGCGAAGGUGCGAGCUGGAGCGAA